GGGCGUGUGGUCUAGUGGUAUGAUUCUCGCUUUGGGAAGUUCAGCCGGUCAAAUGGUUGUGCAAUUCAAAUAUGCGAGAGGCCCUGGGUUCAAUUCCCAGCUCGCCCC
rnacentral:tRNA from 1 species